UACAGAGGUCUCAAGCGUUGUUCGGAUUCACUGGGCGUAAAGGGUGCGUAGGCGGCUUGGUAAGUUGGGUGUGAAAGCCCCGGGCUCAGCCCGGGAAGGGCACUCGAAACUGCCGAGCUGGAGUGCCGGAGGGGAGAGUGGAAUUCCUGGUGUAGCGGUGAAAUGCGUAGAUAUCAGGAGGAAUACCGGUGGCGAAAGCGACUCUCUGGACGGCAACUGACGCUGAGGCACGAAAGCGUGGGGAGCAAACAGG
rnacentral:rRNA from 1 species